GACGAACGCUGGCGGCGUGCUUAACACAUGCAAGUCGAGCGGAGCGGAGAACGGGUGAGUAACGCGUGAGUAACUGCCCCCCUCUCUGGGAUAACAGUUGGAAACGGCUGCUAAUACCGGAUAGUGGGGGAUGACUCGCGUCCUAUCAGCUUGUUGGUGGGGUAGUGGCCUACCAAGGCGGAGACUGGUAGACGGCCUGAGAGGGCGACCGGCCACAUUGGGCUUAGAUACGGCCCAAACUCUUACUGGAGGCAGCAGUGGGGAAUAUUGCUCAAUGGGGGUAACCCUUAGGCAGCAUCGCCGCUUGCGGGAUGACGGCCUUCGGGUUGUAAACCGCUUUCAGCCAUGACGCGGUAGUGGCAGAAGAAGCACCGGCUAACUACGUGCCAGCAGCCGCGGUAAUUC
rnacentral:rRNA from 1 species